rnacentral:rRNA from 1 species
GACGAACGCUGGCGGCGUGCCUAACACAUGCAAGUCGAACGGAGCUCCUUCGGGGGCUUAGUGGCGAACGGGUGAGUAACGCGUGAGAAACAUGCCUUUCAGUGGGGGAUAGCGGUUAGAAACGACCGGUAAUACCGCAUAAUGUUAUUUGGGGGGAUCUCUGAGUAACCAAAGAUUUAUUGCUGAAAGAUGGUUUCGGGUCUGAUUAGCUAGUUGGUGAGGUAACGGCUCACCAAGGCGACGAUCAGUAGCCGGUCUGAGAGGAUGAACGGCCACAUUGGGACUGAGAUACGGCCCAGACUCCUACGGGAGGCAGCAGUGGGGAAUAUUGGGCAAUGGGGGAAACCCUGACCCAGCAACGCCGCGUGAAGGAAGAAGGCCUUCGGGUUGUAAACUUCUUUUACCAGGGACGAACACAAUGACGGUACCUGGAGAAAAAGCAACGGCUAACUACGUGCCAGCCGCCGCGGUAAGAC